AAGAAAAUGAUUGAGUGGCAAAAAUGUCCUGAAGGGACCCUGGGUUAUAUGUUGUCGGAGACCCUGAAAGUGAUGUUGAAAAAGGUGCCAGUUGCAGAAGAGGCAACAGAGUCCCAUUGACGGUAAAAACAGGCUCUGCCAUGUGCUCCAGGUUCUACUGGCAAGGCAUGAAUGUUGAUAUUGACACGUGGGUCUCAGAAUGUGACAGUUGCCAGCGAUCAGGAAAGGCUUUGGCAGCUGCACAACCCUUACAAAACAUAAAGCAAAAUUUUUACAGAUGUUUACUUUUUACUACACUUUUUCUCCAACUAAUAAGUAUAACUUUUUGUUUUUUGUAGGUAUCGGCUGUCUGGGAGUUGCUGGGAAUUGAUCUCACUGGACCUCUCCUGAAAACUGCAGAUGGCUAUCAAUACUUUUUUACAGCCACGGAUUAUUUUUCCAAAUGGGUUGAAGCCUUCCCUUUAAAAACAAAAUCAGCAUCGGAAGUAGCUCAGAAGAUCUGCCAAAUGAUUUAUCGACAUGGUUGCCCAAAGCGGAUUUUGUCUGAUCAGGAGCGAGAAUUUGUGAACGAGCUCAACCACAACCUCUGUGGCCUUCUGGGUAUAGAGAGGAGUGUAACAGCUGCUUACCAUCCUCAGACAAAUGACCUAGAUGAAAAGACAAAUGACAACAUAAAACGGCAAGUUGUUUCUCUAUCACCUAUCAAUAUUCCAGUCUUUGCCAGAUCAUUUGUUUACACUGACAGCUUCAAGUCUCCACACACCUGCUACACUCCUGGGGACACACCUGCUUGUUCCUUACCCUUACAGUAAAAUGACUCCUUUAUU